AGCGAACGCUGGCGGCAGGCCUAACACAUGCAAGUCGAACGAAGUCUUCGGACUUGGUGGCGGACGGGUGAGUAACACGUGGGAACGUACCUUUUGGUUCGGAACAACUCAGGGAAACUUGAGCUAAUACCGAAUGUGCCCUUCGGGGAAAGAUUUAUCGCCAUUAGAGCGGCCCGCGUUAGAUUAGCUAGUUGGUGGGG
rnacentral:rRNA from 1 species